AUUGAACGCUGGCGGCAGGCCUAACACAUGCAAGUCGAACGGAGUGGCGGACGGGUGAGUAAUGUCUGGGAAACUGCCCGAUGGAGGGGGAUAACUACUGGAAACGGUAGCUAAUACCGCAUACUAUCAGAUGAGCCUAGGUCGGAUUAGCUAGUUGGUGGGGUAAAGGCCUACCAAGGCGACGAUCCGUAACUGGUCUGAGAGGAUGAUCAGUAACAGUGGAAAUGAGACACGGUUCAGCCUCUUACUGGAGGCAGAAGUGGGGAAUAUUGGACAAGGGGUGAAAGCCUGAUCCAGCCAUGACGCGUGUGUGAAGAAGGGCUGCGGAUGUUAAAGCACUUUAAGUAGGGAGGCGGGACAAACAGAAUAAGCACCGGCUAACUCCGUGCCAGAAGCCGCGGUAAUAC
rnacentral:rRNA from 1 species